CACGUAGGGUGCGAGCGUUGUCCGGAAUUAUUGGGCGUAAAGAGCUCGUAGGCGGUGUGUCGCGUCGGCCGUGAAAACCUGCAGCUUAACUGUGGGCGUGCGGUCGAUACGGGCAUCACUGGAGUUCGGCAGGGGAGACUGGAAUUCCUGGUGUAGCGGUGAAAUGCGCAGAUAUCAGGAGGAACACCGGUGGCGAAGGCGGGUCUCUGGGCCGGAUACUGACGCUGAGGAGCGAAAGCGUGGGGAGCGAACAGG
rnacentral:rRNA from 1 species